AGGCUCAGCAGAAGCAGAGUGUUCCAUGUGGUCGCCUUUCGGACGAAGGUCAAGAUGAGCGGAGACCACCAAGCACUUUUCCAGAAGGAUAUUAGAUUUCACUGGAGCCAGAAGCUCAGAAGUACACUCUGGUCUCUGGAAAUUGCAAGCCUUUCUCAGGUGCCUCCAAGCACAAGGAGCCCUCAUUCACAAAAGGAGAGAGAGGCUAUUUCUCCAACUGUCUUGCCCAGAUUCUGCCAAGGACCAUGUCCUGCCCACUUUGCUGCAUCUCCUGAUCUUUCACAUACAACUCCUCAGCUUGACGUCAGUGUUUAUGAAGGGUUCUCUGUGGAAAGGGAGCUUUUGAAUGGCCGAAGAAAGGUGAUAAGACAUCAGGAUGUGUGGCAGAGGAGAGCGGCUAUUCUGUUUUGGAAAGCCAUGCAGAUGCUUUGGAAUGAUCUUUAAGGCGCAGUCACCAGACCUCCAGGUUAAGCCCGUAUUUGAUGAGAAUCCUGUUGGAUGAAAACAUGGCCAUACGGUGAUUAUUACAAUGGACUAAGGUUCCAGAUUCUGCGCUUGGAGGCACGGGUAAAGCAGCUAAAAGACACCUGAGAUGGUGGCAGUGGAACGAGGAGGUAUGACUGCCUGAAGUGACCGGUGUCCGGUGCCCACCUUGGAAUCAGGAAGGACAGUCGCCCAGCAGUUACAUGUCGUCGGCAGUGAGCUCCACACAGCAGCUCCCCUGAGCUUUUGAGGUCUUGAGGCGGCUCCUGGGCCCCACCCCUCUGUCUGGUGUCACCGUUGUCUGCCGCGUCCCCUGUUACUUUGCACACUUACCCUACCUUGCUAUAGCUUUAGGGCAAACAGAAGUUUGCUGAAGCUCCCAACAUGUGCUUCUCUUUUUAAAUGGCUCAAAGCUGAGAAAACAUUGAAGAUCAACGUUCCCAGAGGAAGAAGAAAGUAUGCAGGGCCUGUCACUUCAGGAACAGUGAAACUGCACUUCCACCCAGAAUUGUACAUUAGCCUUUUCCAAAGGCUGUUUUCCAACACCCUGGCUGGUUCUCACAGAGCAACAAAACAGUCGGCCCAAGUGGGAUGGUGGACCGAUUCAAAUCUCUCACCCAGGAACCUGCUGGCCUCAGGCCAGUUGCAGGUGAAGCUUUUUGCAAGGUAGUGGCCUGGUUGGCUGUGUUUCAGGCUCAGUUCAAAGUCCACAGUUUUCAUCAACAAAUGUUUCUUGUGCAAAGGGUGUUUUAAGGUUGCUGUUUUGAGAGUCUGUUUUCCAGAAAAUGUGAACUGUUUUUAUUAUCAAAUGUCUUUUAGCCUUGUGACCUGAAACAAAGUAUCACUAAGGUCUGAAUGUCAUCAACUUAAAAACAAAACAAACCAAAAAAAAAAACCCUGCCUACUCCAGCAUUUUAAUAAGUGAACAUGUCAAUUUGUAAUUAAGGCUCAGAUUUUCAAUCGCCUAAGUGGCUGACACCGAUUCUACUUGGCAUCACUGCUGAUUUAUUUCUCUUGGAAUACAUGUAGUGCCAUUAUGUCUUGGUGACAACAGAAAUAAGCUUUGGCCAGGUCUGUGAAUAGUUUGGGGAUGAAGAAAAUAAGUUUUGAAAGGCAAUGGGCACUGCUGAUUACAGACUUUUAUUAGGAACAGAUGUGGGGCUCUGGUUUUGAGUGGUAGACAAACUGUUAUUGAAACAAGCAGCUAAGGGCUAUACUAUCUUCUUUUUUAGGACAGAGAAAUAACAAAUUGAAUUCAUCAUUUUUUUUCCUUCCAGGGAUUGCCUAAUCAUCAAAAAUAAGCUCUAAGAUAUUUAUUUAUGCAUAUGUUGAACAGUGCAGAAACGAGGUGGGGGGGACUGUUUUUGUUAACAUAUCUCCAGGCUGAAACAGAGGUUUAGAAAGUCAUCAUACAGUACUUCCUUUACCACCGUGCCUCAGACCUCUCCACUUCAACUUUGUUUAUGGCCUCCCCCUUCUAACAGUUUCAUCCAUUUAGGGUGUAGCAGUACCAAGGCUAAGUUAUAUACUUAUGAUCAUAAGCAACCUCAAAACUCCCUUUCCACAAGAAACAAAAUGAUCAUUUUGUGUAUUCCUGGCCGAGGCCCCUCUUCCUUCGAGAACAGAGUGAGCAUCUUGAAUUACCGGCUGCCCAGUCUGGGGCUGGGUCAGCUGAGGGGGAGGCUUCAGACAUUACAGAUGACUUCCAUCUCUCUCUGCCAUUCCCUUCUUUCUCCAGUCAUGUAUUGAGACCCCCCUCCCCUUCAUUUAAUAACACUUCCCAGAUAUUUCCAAUGAUGCUUCCAAUCACAUACCACUAGCCAGAACUUACUCACAUGUCCACACUUAGCUUCAAAGGAGACCAGGAAAUGGAGAGUUAUUCUGAGUGGCCAUGUGCCAAGUUAAAGAAUCUGGGUUCAGCUUUGUAGAAAAACAAGAAAUGGAUAUUGGCAGUAACUAGCAGGCUGUACCAAUGGCUUGUACCAAUUUACACUCCUGUCAGCAGCGUAUGAGAGUUUCUUUUCCUCCGUGUUUUUAUUAAAAU